rnacentral:rRNA from 1 species
AGGCGGGGGGGCAUGCAUCUA